UACGGAGGGUGCAAGCGUUAUCCGGAUUUACUGGGUUUAAAGGGUGCGUAGGUGGGCUAGUAAGUCCGUGGUGAAAUCCCUGAGCUUAACUUGGGAACUGCCAUUGAUACUAUUAGUCUUGAAUAUCGUGGAGGUAAGCGGAAUAUGUCAUGUAGCGGUGAAAUGCUUAGAUAUGACAUAGAACACCAAUUGCGAAGGCAGCUUGCUACACGGUCAUUGACACUGAGGCACGAAAGCGUGGGGAGCAAACAGG
rnacentral:rRNA from 1 species